UACGUAGGGGGCUAGCGUUGUUCGGAAUUACUGGGCGUAAAGGGCUCGUAGGCGGCCAACUAAGUCAGACGUGAAAUCCCUCGGCUUAACCGGGGAACUGCGUCUGAUACUGGAUGGCUUGAGGUUGGGAGAGGGAUGCGGAAUUCCAGGUGUAGCGGUGAAAUGCGUAGAUAUCUGGAGGAACACCGGUGGCGAAGGCGGCAUCCUGGACCAAUUCUGACGCUGAGGAGCGAAAGCCAGGGGAGCAAACGGG
rnacentral:rRNA from 1 species